AGCUGCGACACAAGCCUUCCCCCUCUGCUGUCAGGGUUCCAGGCAGCCGCUUGUCCCUGCCCUGAGCUCAGGCAGGAGCCCUGACAGCGAGGAGGUGUUUGGGAUUUUCCCCGUAAGGGGAUGUAUGCGGUGGGUUUAAGACACAGAAGUGGAGUAUUUUCUGUUAAGGAACUAAUGGGAGAGAUUCCAACCCGUCAUUCCCUGUGGGCUCUCCAGCUGCGAGCAAUGGUGCCGGGACUGCCCUCCCAGAGCAGUCAUUGGGAGAUCUGUUCCACCUCUCCAGCAAACAAUAUACAUUUGUAAAGUUUUACAUUAAGGUUGUCCAGUAAGAGAAUGUUUUCUGUUUCCAAAUGAUUUUAAAAGCAUUCAGGAGAGUCAAGGUGGGAAACAUCAAAGACCUUUGGAAAAAGGUAGAUUGAACCAGACCUUACAGAGCGGAGACUUUACAUCCACUUCCUGGUCCUGGAACUGCCCUGCUUCAGACGCCUCACCCCUGCGCUCAGUGGGCUCGGUGCCACGUGGGUCUGGGUUGUGAGUGACAGGCGGGGAGCACGCCUGUGGGUGCCUGCACGGGUGGGGAAAGCCGACAGGUUCCGAUCUGCACCCAGGAGCUGCAAUCAGAGCUGAUCCAGCCGCAGGGGAGCAGAUGCACGAGGGAGGCUCCUUAUAAUGGCCCCGUAGCAAAGCUGCACUGUCCAAAAGCCGGCAAACAUCUGCAGCACCUCUGCCUGACUGACAGCAUUUGCUGCUGCCCUGUGGGAAACUUCUGACCCCCUUCUCGCACCAUCAAUCAGCUCCACAGCUCUGGGGUGCUGAGUGUUUAUAGGGGGGAUCCCUGUGUGAACAAGGCUGACGUCUUUUGGGGUACCUUUUCCUUUCUCUGGCCAGGCAUCGCAGGUGUCUGCAGGUUGCAAACCUCCCAGCUGCCACCCGGGAGAAGAGCUCCCUGCUCCCCACGUGUUGCGCUUCUUCCCCAGGAAAGCUCUCUGUGCCCACUGUAACACCUGGCUUGACCCCAUGGGCCACCUUCACCUGCUCCUCUCUUCAUUAGCAGACAGGGAUCUUCCUGUUUAAAUAUUGAAGGAGAGGCUUUUAAAAUAUACAUUGGCAGGAGCGCUGUAAUUCCAGCCGGAGGCUCCAGUGACACAGCCUGUGGCCUGAUUUGAAGGGAGGGGGAAGGAAGGAGUUAGCAGCAGGCGAGUGCUGCAGAGGUCACCCUGCAUCAGGCCAUGUAUAUGGCUGUGGGUGACCCAUCUGAUAAGGAGUUUGGGGACGGUGAAGGCUGUGUGAGCAGCCUGGGCUCCUUCUCUCCCCAAGGAGCCACGUGUGCAGGGCAGGCUGUAAGGAUCCUCUGCCUUGCACCAGCCUCAGAUGUUCCCCAGGGACAGAUGCGAGCCAGAAGCAAGGAAACAGGCAAGCGUCCACUUAUGGGGUAACAGGCUGAAAUAACCAGAUGAGCUUCUAAAUAGAAACAACCCAACAUUCAAAAUCCAGUGCUGCUGCUCCCAGUCCCUCCAGGCUCUGUGUGGGAUGGGGCUUUCUCCAGUAUCCAGGACAAAUUCUUUCCUUUUACUUUGCCUUCCACCAGUCCUUGUGUGUCUGCCUGCAGAAUGUGCCUAGAGCUCCAGUGCCAGCUCCAGCCAGGCUGUCCUAGCUGCUGCAGACAGCACUGAAGACCUUCUCUGGCUGGGAUGCGUUAGAAGGGAGGCACCCAGCAGGGGCUGCAAGGAUUGCAUCCUCAGUCCUGGAUGGGAAGGAUGCUCAGGCCACGGUGGGGUCAGUGCCAGAGAUUAUGUGUAUUUGCUUUGAGAAAUCCCCCAGAUUUAGUUCCUUAAUGGGUAAUUAACAUUCCAGCUGCUCCUUGGUAAUAGCCUCUCCAGCCCAUGGGAAACCCACAGACACAGUGACGCUGCAGGCGGAUUUCAUAACUCAGCCAGUGACUAAACAGAAAGGGAGCUGGAGAAGCAAGGCAAAUGGGAAUGAUGCUCCCAACCUCUUCUCCUGCCUGGGCUUUGGCCCUGCUGUGAACUGGUCCUGGUGAGGGGUCAGUGGGAGGCAACUGGCCUGACCUGACCUGCAAAGGUCCCUGCUCCAGGCUUCCCACAACAGGAAUUUUGGCUCUCUUUCCAUGCCUGGGUCUUGUUCCCACAAACCACCAGACCAGAGGCCUUACUGGUGGCCUUGAAACAGAGAUUGGAGCUGGAAGAGGUCAAAACUCUCCCCAACAGGCUGAACCAUUGCUGUCUACUUAAUACGAAGCAGGGUCUGUGGUCCUGGCUCUCAAACAGCUCUGGGCCCCUUGAAAUGGCGUCUUUCCUCUAGUAGCCCUGGCAAAAAGAAAUUGGGGCCCCAAAUGCAGCCAUUCACAGGUAAAAAAAAAAAAAAGGAAAGCUUUUCCACUUGCUUUUAAGGCCAUUUUUAGUUCUGAAAGGCAGUUUGUGCAUGCACACAUGUAAAAUGAUGUGUCAGAAACAGGCAUAAGGAGAUUAAAAAUCUCCGACAAUGAAGUUAAAGCAUUUAAGGAAUUGGCAGAGACUUCAAGAGCUGGUUUCUGGUCCUAAUGAAGCCAGUGGAAGUGCUGCCAUGGACUUCAAGGGGACCAUAAUUUGGCUGUAACUCAGUAGGGAGCUGAAAGUGUUGAUUAAUAAAUUGGAGACAAUGCGGAGGAAAGCUGCUAAACUUCUUUCUGACAGAUGUGCUGAAGAAGAGCCUGGAAGCUGAGGCAUGCAGGAAGGGAACUGGUUUCCUUUGUGUUUGCAAACAGAAGAUAGGCAAGGAGAAAAGCCCUGCUACCUGAUACUCAUGUAAAGUGCAGAGCUGGUAUUAAUAAAUAGCAAUGCCUUCCUGAGCAGCCUUCUGUUCAUUCUUGGAAAAAAAAACUAUGUAUUAGCAAAAGCCAAGCCAAGAAUUCAUCAAAUUCCUUUUUUCUCAGAAGUAACUCUUCAGUGGAAAAGUUUACAGCUGGAGAUUGUGGAUUCUGCAGAUUGUCCUUGGAGUCUGGUGCGUGCCUUUGAAUUACUCAUUGCUGGCUUUUUGCUCGAUGAUUCGUGCAUGAAACUCCUGUGCUAGAGUUCUGAUAGAGGUUAGCAUGGCCUCAGAAAGCCCUUCCUACCACAGAUACAUUUUCAGGCUGAGUCUGCAAAUCAUUCAAGGCUGAAGAAAAAAGAAAUCCCUUUAAUACCCUUUACAGCAGUUUGCAGCCGAAAAGCUUCCUGUUUGUCCCUUUUUGUUUUCUGAGUUUUCCAGUAGCUUUGGCAUAAGCAAAGAUAUUCUGAGAUCUUCAGAGAAAAGGCUUGUGCGGGAAGUGAAAUGUUUAAGUCUUUGACUUCAAUGAAUGCUUCAGAGCACGUUAGAAAAUGUGCAGCCAUAA